GUUCUUGACUAGUUCGUGAUGGCUACGCAACUGUUCUCUCUUCCACAAAGGACAGCCUCCUGAUGGGGCGAUGAAAUACUUUGACCUGGAAGUUGGAAGUCGAUCUGACCAAGACAGUUUGCUAGCUUGAGCUUCGGACAGGUUUGGUAAGCAUGUCAACAGCAUUCUCGCUGCGAUUGCUUGUGUAAACGAAGACGAUGAAGAAUAUGCAAUCUUGUAAAAGAAAAGAGAAGGAAGAGAUCUACACGAUGAUAUACAUGGUUCGACAAAUGAUGCCUACAUCCACGGGAAGGAGAGAAGAUUUUAUUCAAGAGCUAAGUCACACCUUUUUCUUUUUACAUAUUUCAAGGUUUCUUGAAGCUUUUGUAUAUUGUUGCUACAAAUUUGUAAUGAUGAGUAUUUAUACAAUUUUUCUGAUACAAGUAGUUACAAUAACAAACUGUAAAAGAUAAAGAAAUGUGAACAGCUGUUGAAUAUAUGGUUGAAUGUUUGAGCUUAUUUACUUCAAAUCUCCACCUUAAGCUCAACAUGCAAGCUCUUCUCCUUCUAGAUUUUACAUGUCUUCACCCUUUUACAGGAAGUUGGAAGUCGAUCUGACCAAGACAGUUUGCUAGCUUGAGCUUCGGACAGGUUUGGUAAGCAUGUCAACAGCAUUCUCGUUGGUACAUGCAAUGGUUCAAUGGUUGAAUUCACAUCACCAAGGUUGGCCUAGAUAAAAGGCAGGCCGAAACCAACCUUAAAAGAAGAGAGAUGAAGGCAUGCUAGCAAUGAUGGAAAAGGCAUUGGCAAAGUAAAGACGAAGUUGAAAGAUAAAGAAACUUCAUUGAUUAAAAAGUAAAACCAUAGAAAGAGCAACAAACAAUAGAGAAAAUAUAAAGGAGAGAAGUGCAACAACGAUGUUAAAAGAAGGCAGCAAAAACAUAAUGGUGGAGGAAAUUUUCAAUCAUCUUGGUUUAUGGCAUCUUUAGUGUCAGCCUCGACAUUGUCAUCUUGAGGAUGGAAGGGAUAAGGAUUCCUGCGUAGAGUUUCAAAAUAUUGAGUUGGAUAGUCAAAGUUCAUAAUAGAGUGGUAAAAUAUGCUUCUUUCUUUGCUAAAUGCCCCACCAUUCUCCAUUACAAAGUUCUACAUUCUGGUGCAAGCUUCAGUUUCUGGGAUUUUUGUUCCAAGUACCAAGUAUCAGAGAGAAGAGCCUCAACUUUGUCAAGUUUAGCUUGGAUAGCUGAUGUGUUAACUCGGGAUGAUUGGAGCUCAGUUUGGAUAUCAUAUAGAAGCCGAUUAAGACUAGCAAUGUUGGCCUGGGCUUUGUUUAGCUUUUUAGAGGAACUCGAAAUUCCAUUAAUUAAUUAAUUUAUAUGGUUAGUGAUACUCAUUUUGAAGUAGCAAUCCGAGAAACAGAUUAAAAAAAAAGAAGAUGAAAAAGUUUACAUGAAGUUCAAAACAUGAGAGGCCAACCUUACUCAAAUAAGAGUCGAGGCCGACCAUUCUAAAGGGAUAAUAAUGAAAAAAAAUAUAAUAACAUACGUAAAAAAGGUCAUUCAAAGUUUUUGUGAUAGCUGCAGCGGGGUCAUCAUAUCUAGUAGGUGGAGAAAGGCGCCUCAAUCUGACACCUUGCCAAAGGGUGAAGGUUUGGGCAAGGAGUUCAGCUUCACCCCCAUUCUAGAAUAUCUACAAGAAAGUGAAAUAUUAUAUUCUCAUUGAAGGAUUCAUCUUGAGGAAGAGGGAUCUCAUUGUAAAGCCGAAUAGAUAGCCGAUGGGUCAUCUGAGGGACAGGAUGAGGAAGAAGUUGAGUUAUAUGUUGCUCGGGUUGUUCAUCAUCAAUUAGGUCUAUUAUCCUGCCUUGAAGCCUCCUAGAUGAUUCUCCUCUCUUGCCCUUGAUGAGCAAGAGAAAGGGUGUUGUAAUCUUCUCUCUGCCAAUCAAAUAAAAUUUAUAUUACUGAACUAACUACUUGUACUACUGAGUAGUACAAGUGGCAAGUCCGAAUCAAUCCACAGAGAAGCGUGAAAAUUAGUUCCUCAAAGCUCAUUUUCAGUUAAAGUGGUAAAUAGGGGGAUGAGGCUUUGGUGUGGUUUGAGAUUAGUGCAUAAAAGUAAAGACAUGAAAGUAAAAGGAUAAAAGUAUAAUCUAAUAGCUUAGAGGAAUGAAAUUACCCAAUGUAAACUUGAUCCUAGGAUAACACUAAAUCAUCUUAAACACAUAGUCAACUUAAGUGGAAAAGCCAACAUUAAGCGUCCUUAAUUAUCAAUUAAGAUUUGCAUCCUAAUUAAUAUAUGUGUCAAUUAACUAACAAUGAAAAUCAUUCAUUAAUCAACCAAACACAUUCAUUAAGUUCUAGGACUAAACCAUGACAUGAUUACCUAACAAAAAAGCCGAUUAAUUAAUUGAUUGUUCUCUAUCCCUAAGUCACUCAAAAUAACUAUAUGAUUUUAAUAGAAAAGCCAUGAAAUCAAUAUACACCCAUGAGAUGACUUUAGUUAGUUGGUAACUAACACAUAACAAUUACAGAUUACAUGUUAAGUUUUAAGCGAUUAGUAUACAUAAACGACUGAUUUGUUAGGCCUAAUCAUUCACACAUAUUAAGAAUUAAACCAAGAGAUAGGGUGCUCAAGGAAUAAAAAUGUAUACAUUCAAGCACAAAAUCCUAUCAAAAUUACAAAGGGUUCUUCCAAAAUCCUCUAAAUAAAAAAAACCAUAAAUCUUACCUUCUCGUGGCGAUGGAGAAGCUAAAAUAUGGCCUCAUCUCAAUUGAUUACAUGUGAAAAUGAAGAAAAUACAUGCGCGAGAGAGAAAGGGAUGAAAAAUCGACUAAGGGUGAUUGGGGUUUGAUAAAAAUGACCUAAAAUCGAAGAGGAUUUAAAUAAUCAUUGCGGCAGCGGCGCGAUGCUAGGCCCUAAUUGGCCCUAUAUGAGUAGUGUCAUGUCGCAACGUCGGGCGAUGCUAUGGUGCCUUCACCUGUGCGUGCCUAUAUGUCUCUUCUCCAUCAAAGUCUGGAGCACUACAACGCUAUGUCAAAUGCAGCUACUGCCUUUCAGCGCCUUUCAUGUGACGCCAAUCCUCCAAGGGCAUUUUCAUCUUUUUCGCUCCUUUGAAGUUUCGUUGCUCUAAUUAGCUUCUAAUUACUCCAAAUUAACCCUAAAUGGGCCGUAACACUCUUAAAUGCAUAAUUACUCGAGAUUCUACAAACAUAGACAUUAAAACACAUUAAACAUCGUAUACAUUCAAGCACAAAAUCCUAUCAAAAUUAUAAAGGGUUCUUCCAAAAUCCUCUAAAUAAAAAAAACCAUAAAUCUUACCUUCUCGUGGCGAUGGAAAAGCUAAAAUAUGGCCUCAUCUCAAUUGAUUACAUGUGAAAAUGAAGAAAAUACAUGUGCGAGAGAGAAAGGGAUGAAAAAUCGGUUAGGGGUGAUUGGGGUUUGAUAAAAAUGACCUAAAAUCGAAGAGAAUUUAAAUAAUCAUUGCGGCAGCGGCGCGAUGCUAGGCCCUAAUUGGCCCUAUAUGAGUAGUGUCAUGUCGCAACGUCGGGUGAUGCUGUGGUGCCUUCACCUGUGCGUGCCUAUAUGUCUCUUUUCCAUCAAAGUCUGGAGCACUACAACGCUAUGUCAAAUGCAGCUACUACCUUUCAGCGCCUUUCAUGUGACACCAAUCCUCCAAGGGCAUUUUCAUCUUUUUUGCUCCUUUGAAGUUUCGUUGCUCUAAUUAGCUUCUAAUUACUCCAAAUUAACCCUAAAUGGGCCGUAACUCUCUUAAAUGAAUAAUUACUCGAGAUUCUACAAACAUAGACAUUAAAACACAUUAAACAUCGUAAAUGAGCUAGAUUAGAGGCACUAAGAUAACACAUUUCGGGUGCUACCAAAUACCCCAACUUAAACUUUACUUGUCCUUGAACAAGUAAAAAUAAAAAUGAGUCAUCUGAUGGAAAAGAUUGACUCUAAUCUCAAAGCAAAAUAUAACAACACAAUUCAUGACGAGAGAAUCACUUGAAUGCACACAAUCAUUAGCACAUUUAAAGUAAUUCUUAAUCCCUUACGUGUGUGUGCUUAGCCAUCCUACCUAGGUCUUUACAAACUCGGGAAGGUUUUAUUCAACUGUUAACUCUAAAAAAGAGCCAAGUUUAUAGCUUUAACUUUCCUAUAUUUGGGUAAUUCUUGUGUCUUAUUUGUCUUAUUUUGUAUGAGAAUUGACUCCAUGGAGCAAGUACGUUUCAAGGAUGAAGAAUCAAGCAAAAAGGAAGGAACAACCAGAAUUCAAAUGCAUCAAAUCGAGCUGAGAUGACAAAGGACGAUUCUGCCUUAUUUCAGCAUUGCAACGGUCUUCAUAAGCCUAUGUUCGACGCUCAUUCGAUGCUGGGAGGUAGUAGCAUCGGGUGCAGGGCAGCGUUGCAAGUGUCACAACGUUUCAGAGUUAAAUCAUCGCCACUGUUGCAACGCAGUUUGACACCAACGCUUAAGGACAAAAUACUCAGCAUUGCAAUGAUCUUCUAGAGCGUUGCGAUGCUACGAAGAUUGAUGGAAGAUAAAUGCGUGUGCGUAACCCAGUGUCAGGGGGAGCGCUGUGAUGCCUCCUUAAUGCUCAUCAAUUUGCAUCGCAGUGUUGCAACGCUAUUUCUAAGAUUUGCAACGUUGCGAGAAGCCUAUAAAUAGGACGUUCGACUCCAACAUUCGACAUACCUAAAUACAAUUCAAAAUAGAGUAAAAUUUAAGAGUUAGUCCGGUUUUGGGAGCCAUUGAAGUCGAAUUGCUGAGCAAUUAUCACCAUAGUCAGCCUUGAUUCUCUUUCGAUCAUUGUAAUUUCGAUAUGCCUUUUAGAGGCUAGGUAAUUUUCUUGGGAUAGUUUGUAUGUCUUGAUUCUUGAAAGUUUACUAGUUAAACCCCUCAGAAGGCUCAACCCCAACUUGAAAGAUGUAGUUCUCAAGGAAAUUAUCAAGCUCAAUGAAGUCAGAAUUAUUUACCCAGUUCCAAAUAGCAAAUGGGUAAGUCUUAUUCUUGUAGUUUUGAAUAAGACCGACAUGAAAAUUAUAGAGAAUGAUAAGGGUGAGAUUGUGCGCAUACAAAACGGGUGGAGAAUGUGCAUCGAUUUCUGAAAGCUCAACGAGGUAACCAAGAAGGACCACUUUCCUAUACCUUUUUUGGAUCAGAUGGUGGAAUGGCUCGCCGGAAAACUAUUCUUUUGUUUCUUGAUGGGUUUUCUGGAUUCUACCAAAUCCCCAUCGCACAAGGAGAUGAGGAAAAGACCACGUUCACCUGGAUUUAUGAGACCUAUGCCUUUAAGAGGAUGCCAUUUGGGCUUUGUAACACCCCAGGUAUGUUCCAAAGGUGUAUGAUGAGUAUAUUUUCCGAUUUUAUAGAAAAAUGCAUAGAGAUGUUUAUGGAAGAUUUUACGGUUUACGGAGAGUUUUUCGAGGACUGUUUGCAUAAUCUUAGCUUAGUAUUAAAACAUUGCAUUGAGGCUAACCUGGUAUUGAAUUAUGAAAAAUUUAAUUUUAUGGCUUUUCAUGGGAUUGUUUUAGGGCAUCUAGUUUCUGCAAUGGGGAUUGAGGUAGACAAAGCUAAGAUAGAUGUUUUUGCUAACCUCUCCCAUCCUACAUGUGUUAGGGAGAUUCGUUCUUUUCUUGGUAGCACAGGUUUCUACAGGCAUUUCAUAAAGGAUUUUUUGAAGUUGGCACUAUCGCUAUCAACAUUACUGCAGAAGAAUGUUCCAUUUAAUUUUGACAAGGAGUGUCAAGAGGCCUUUGACACUUUGAAAAAAAAGCUGACCACCACCUUAAUUUUGUAACCUUCAAGAUGGGACGUACCGUUUGAGAUCAUGUGCGGUGCUAGUAAUCUAGUAGUGGGAGUGGUCCUAGGACAACGGGUCGACAAGAAGAGUCACGUCAUAUACUUUGCGUCAAGGACCCUAAAUCCUACCCAAAUUAACUACAUUAUGAUUGAGAAAGAAUUUAUGGCUAUCGUUUUUGCUUUAGAUAAAUUCCGUUCUUACGUUCUUGGCUUUCCUAUUACUAUCUUUACUGAUCACUCUAU